UGACCUCAAAUCGGGUGAGACUACCCGCUGAACUUAAGCAUACAA
rnacentral:rRNA from 1 species